CAGCCGCCAGUAUUUCUUCUCUCCCCUCUAUUGCAGGCACCCAAACACCAGAUCCAAGAUCUAGAAUUUUUUGAGAAGAGGUUGGUACAAGUCUCUGUCAGAUCUGGAGUUGAUCUAAGGUUGUUUGAGGUGCGGGUGAGAUCUCCAUCAACAGAUCUAAAAAAAGGCUGCAGCAGGAUAGAUCUACGAGGUCUGUCUCCAUCUAUCUUCUUCCCUAUCUAGAAUACCCUGAUUCAAGAUCUACAAAUUG
rnacentral:lncRNA from 1 species